UACGGAGGGUGCAAGCGUUGUCCGGAAUCACUGGGCGUAAAGGGCGCGUAGGCGGCUCAUGAAGGCUGUGGUGAAAGUCCGGGGCUCAACCUCGGAUCGGCCGUGGCGACUCGUGGGCUGGAGCACUGUAGAGGCGGGUGGAAUUCCGGGUGUAGCGGUGGAAUGCGUAGAGAAUCGGGAGGAACACCAGAGGCGAAGGGCGGCGACCUGGACAGGCACUGACACUCAACUACGAAAGCGUGGGGAGCAAACAGGAUUAGAU
rnacentral:rRNA from 1 species